rnacentral:tRNA from 1 species
UCCCUGGUGGCUCAGACGGUAGAGCGUCUGUCUGCAAUGCAGGAGACCAGGGAU